GCCGAGAGAUUCUUUUGCUUCGAUUUCCCAAAUGUCAGUACUAUGCUUCUGCUAUGAUCAGAUUUUUCUCUCUUUUUAAAUUAUUUUGUAUACCAACCACUUUUUCUUUUCUUUUUUUUUGGUGAGUGUUUGGUUUGGUUCAUCAUGAUUGAGAAAGUGCAGAGAGAAGUUACAACUUACACCACCCAGCAACUUUCAAAAAAAAAUUGGCAUCGUGUUGCAACUCACAACGUUCUGGUCCCUUCAAAGGAGACAAGCAAGUAUGAAACUUUCCUAUCUGAAAUUUUCUCAUCUUUUCAUGAAUACUAGAUUAAGGACUUCAACUACUUCCUCCUUUUUCUUUUUCCAAUUUUCAUUCUAAUAUCCAUGAAGCAUUGUAAACUACUGGUACCCAAAUUAAUAAUUAUAUGUAUUUGAUUAUAUAAAAAUAUUAUGGUGACUGUGGACUGAUAAAAACGCAGGAUGCAGGAUGGAGCUGCUGAGGAAGGAAGAAGGGUUGUGACAUCUCGAAUUUCGUGAGGACUGGGAACUUGGGAAGAAAUCACUUGAAGAGGGGUAAAUUUUUAUUGAAUUUGGUAUAUUAUAAAUAAUUUAUUUUCUUUUUAUUUUAUCUUAAAAUCUUUUGGAGUACAGCAAAAGCAAAAGAGGAAAAAGUGAAAAAGUUAAAAUCUCUGCUACUUUCUCUCACCAAGCAAGCCCUUUAAAUAAAACCUGACAGAAUAUGCCCAAUUAUUUGCAAUACUGUUAGUCAUGCUAUAAGCCACUAUUAAACAAAAAAAAACAAAUAAUAUGUUUUAAAACAUACAAAAUUGUUUAAUAUUUUCUAUUUAACAAAUCAGAAAAAGAUAUUAAGAUUUUUUUUUUAAUUCUGAUGAUAAAGUGAACACAGUGGACUAGUGAAAAAUUUGAUCUGGGUCCAUACGACUCGAGUUGGUUUUGCUUUAUAAUUUUUCCAUUACCAAAAAAAUGAGAAAUAUAUUUGUACACUAAGAUUAUCUAUUUCUAUAUAAAAAAAAAAUAUACAAUAAGUCAAAGAAAGAAAAUAUAAGUUAUAAGAUAACUCAGAUGAGAUGGUGAAAAGAGAUAAAGGCUAGUGGUAAUUUUUCAAAAGUUAUAUCUUUCUAUGUGGAGUUUUCUUUUCACCAAACCAAAUGAUGAAAAAGGAAAAAUAAAUUCAAAGAGUAAUGUGUUGAGGAUUUGACUAACGAGAGUUACUAUAGUGCAGUAUAAGGAUAAGUCUGUACUAUUAUUUAAUUAUAUAUUAUUUCGUACGUCAUAAUUCAUAUUGAAAAUUUAAAUGAUUAAUAAUAGUACAUAAAUAUUGAUUCCAAUAAUUGAUGCAAAGUAAACAGGAAGAGUUUUUGCGUGUGAAUAUUAUAAGAGAAAAAUUGUGUUAAAAUAAGGCAUUCUGAUAAGUUGUUUCUUUAUUUCACACACACUCUUGUGAAGUAAACAUAAAUAAUUCACAAUCAUUGCAGUGGGCCUCCAGUAAUCCAUUGCCAUGGCCAACUGCAGUAUAUAAUAUUUCAAGAAAAUAGGCAUUUAUUUAUCUCAUUACUAAUAUUGCAAAACUCAUUUAUAAAGUGAGUGGGGCCAUCACAAACCUCUCCUGUCAGAACAAAAAAAUAGGGGUCCUUUUCCCUCUGCCUUCAAAAACUUUAAAAAAUAAUAAAAACAGUAUUGAAAAAUAAAAAAAUGAAAGCAUAUUUUGAAAGCUUGCAAUAAUAAAUAGACAUAAAAUGAAAAAUAGGGUGAUGAAAGCAACCACACACCUAACCUCUAACAUAACAAUGUGUUUUAAUUUUUAGUUUAAUGUUUGUUUGUUUGGUUGUAGCCCAUUUGAUGGAGAGAGGUUACUUAGGAAGUGCAAAUUUCAUUUUUUUACGGAGCUUUGCCCAAACCACACGAAAACCACAUCCCCAUCAUUCUUUUCAACCUUUCAUUCACUUCCUCGUCACUGUAUUUCCC
rnacentral:lncRNA from 1 species